UGAAGGUCGCUUCUCCACAGUGUCUCAACACUGUUCUAUUAGGCCAUAGUGCUGUUAGGUGUGAUAAUGAGACUGAAGGGAGUGAGCGGCAGAUUCUGCCGUGAGCGUGUGCUGUGUGCUGUGUCAUGUUCAGAGACAAACUACGACUUCUGCUGGAAGGUGCUGCUAUUAUUAUUUUGCUCAUGAGUGUCAUACGUCGGCAGUCGGCGAAAGCUCCACACCCCAAGACGCCGGUGUGCGAUCGACGGCAAACAGGACAACCCCGGGAUACUGUGGCAUACCCAGUUGCGGUGGCAUUACAGAAUGUAUGAAACGUCAGAUGUUAGACCUUCAUCGCCUCAACCGGGAUCCAGUGGCAUAUCCCGUGAAAAUAUUACAGAAGAUGAAACACCAGAUGUCAGAUAUUCAUCGCCGCAACCGGGACCCAGUGGCAUAUCCCGCACAUAUGAAAAGCCAGGUGUCAAUUUUUCCCCUCAACCGGAUCCAUCACAAAAUCACAAUGGGGAGUGUUACCAGACGAAGUUUCCAGUCCAGUGUCAUCUCCACCGGAAAAUUCAGAGUUGAUCGAUGUUGCAGAAAAUAUUAUGUGGUGCUUUACCUGACAUCAUUAUUCAGUGCCCUCCCAUGUCCAGGCUGAAUCCAGUGCGUUUCUAAACAUGUACAGGGAC